rnacentral:rRNA from 1 species
UACAGAGGGUGCAAGCGUUAAUCGGAAUUACUGGGCGUAAAGCGUGCGUAGACGGUUAUGUAAGUCAGAUGUGAAAGCCCCGGGCUCAACCUGGGAAUUGCAUUUGAGACUGUGUAGCUAGGGUGCGGAAGAGGGAAGCGGAAUUUCCGGUGUAGCGGUGAAAUGCGUAGAUAUCGGAAGGAACACCAGUGGCGAAAGCGGCUUCCUGGGCCAGCACCGACGUUCAGGCACGAAAGCGUGGGGAGCAAACAGG